GUACUCACUUUAAAAGCACCUGCACUAAAAUUGAAAGGAUACAGAGAAGAUUAGGGGCCCUGCACAAGAAUGUGUCAAGUGGUUCAUAGUAUUAAAAACUGAUG